rnacentral:rRNA from 1 species
GACGAACGCUGGCGGCGUGCUUAACACAUGCCAGUCGAACGAAGAGCGAUGGAAGCUUGCUUCUAUCAAUCUUAGUGGCGAACGGGUGAGUAACGCGUAAUCAACCUGCCCUUCAGAGGGGGACAACAGUUGGAAACGACUGCUAAUACCGCAUACGAUCUAACCUCGGCAUCGAGGAUAGAUGAAAGGUGGCCUCUACAUGUAAGCUAUCACUGAAGGAGGGGAUUGCGUCUGAUUAGCUAGUUGGAGGGGUAACGGCCCACCAAGGCGAUGAUCAGUAGCCGGUCUGAGAGGAUGAACGGCCACAAUGGGACUGAGACACGGCCCAGACUCCUACGGGAGGCAGCAGUGGAGAAUCUUCCGCAAUGGACGAAAGUCUGACGGAGCAACGCCGCGUGAGUGAUGACGGCCGUCGGGUUGUAAAGCUCUGUUAAUCGGGACGAAAGGCCUUCUUGCGAAUAGUUAGAAGGAUUGACGGUACCGGAAUAGAAAGCCACGGCUAACUACGUG